UACGAGGGGGGCGAGCGUUGUUCGGAAUUAUUGGGCGGAAAGGGUGCGUAGGCGGCCUGACAAGUCUGAUGUGAAAUCCCUGGGCUCAACCCAGGGCCUGCAUCGGAAACUGUCGGGCUUGAGUAUGGGAGAGGUGAGUGGAAUUUCCGGUGUAGCGGUGAAAUGCGUAGAUAUCGGAAGGAACACCUGUGGCGAAAGCGGCUCACUGGACCAUUACUGACGCUGAGGCACGAAAGCGUGGGGAUCAAACAGG
rnacentral:rRNA from 1 species